rnacentral:rRNA from 1 species
UACAGAGGGGGCAAGCGUUGUUCGGAAUUACUGGGCGUAAAGGGCGCGUAGGCGGCCUGCUAAGUCGAACGUGAAAUCCCCGGGCUCAACCCGGGAACUGCGUCCGAUACUGGCAGGCUUGAAUCCGGGAGAGGGAUGCGGAAUUCCAGGUGUAGCGGUGAAAUGCGUAGAUAUCUGGAGGAACACCAAUGGCGAAGGCAGCCCCCUGGGUCGAUACUGACGCUCAUGCACGAAAGCGUGGGUAGCAAACAGG